UACGUAGGGUGCAAGCGUUGUCCGGAAUUAUUGGGCGUAAAGAGCUCGUAGGCGGUUUGUCGCGUCUGCUGUGAAAACUCGGGGGCUUAACCCCGGGCCUGCAGUGGGUACGGGCAGACUAGAGUGCGGUAGGGGAGAUUGGAAUUCCUGGUGUAGCGGUGGAAUGCGCAGAUAUCAGGAGGAACACCGAUGGCGAAGGCAGAUCUCUGGGCCGUAACUGACGCUGAGGAGCGAAAGCAUGGGGAGCGAACAGG
rnacentral:rRNA from 1 species